UGUGUAGGCGGUUAUUUAAGUUUGGUGUGAAAUCUCCCGGCUCAACCGGGAGGGUGCGCCGAAUACUGAAUGACUUGGAGUGCGGGAGAGGAAAGUGGAAUUCCUGGUGUAGCGGUGAAAUGCGUAGAUAUCAGGAGGAACACCGGUGGUGUAGACGGCUCUCUGGACCGUAACUGACGCUGAGACACGAAAGCGUGGGUAGCAAACA
rnacentral:rRNA from 1 species